rnacentral:ncRNA from 1 species
GAUAGGGGAGCUGGCGCACGCCGGCUGAGAGGUAGCCUAUCAACCUGAUCUGGGUAAUGCCAGCGUAGGGACCUAA